rnacentral:snRNA from 10 species
GGAUGUGAAGGUGAUCGAUCUGGCUGCGACAUCUGUCACCCAUUGAUCGCCAGGGUAGAUUUGGCUAAUCUGGCUGGCUGGGGGGGUGUCCCUCUCCUCCCCCACCACUCCAUGUGUGUCCCUUCCCAAAGCUGCGCGCUCGGCCAAACAGGAUGACCAUCCCUGAUAGAGGAGGACUGGUCUUCGGUCAAGGGUAUACGAGUAGCUGCACUGCCCUGCUAGAACCUCCAAACAAGCUCUCAAGAAAAUGAGAGUGAAGUUUUAGCUGUAGAAACAUCUAAUAUUGACUUUAAAGUUGUUUGCGCUGCUUUAAUU